GCGGGGGGGGGCGGGGGUGACGCGCAGGAGGGCCCGUGCCAGGGCCUGUCCGAGGGGCUAGGCUGCCGGCGGGGCCAGCUCUGGGAGAGCCCUCGCCGCGCUCCUUCGUCUGUGGGUGGGAGACGCCACGGGGCUCUCGUGUGUCCCAGGUGAGGGUCAGCCGGGAGGGGGGGGAGGUGGCAACAUAGCCCAGGUCUGUGGGCAGCGGGCUCUCAGGGUGGGAGACGCUGUGGAGGGUCACCCAGGGCCCUCACCAGGCAGGUCUCCAGCCGUGCGUGCAGCGAAAGCACCUCCCAGGCUGACCCCUGGCCCCUGGUGACUCUGGCCUCACGGCUCCCGGUCGGGUCUGGAUGACCUCCAGCCCUCGGGGCCACCAGCACGGCCUCACGGAACGGGCCUGAGGCACACGUGGGUGGCUGGACAGUGGCCUGGCAACCGGAGCCCCAGACUAAACAAGGGGCCCCACCCCCCAGGGGAAGUUCAGAAAUAAACCAGCUCAGAACAGCACGUCCUGCCCUGUCUGUCUGUCUGUCUGUCUGUCUGUCUGUCUGAGGCACGAUAGGCCCCCUCGUGGACAGGUCUGAUUCUGGCCCCUGAUUCUAGAUCCCCUAAGUGCUCGAGAGCCCUCCAGCUCCCCACACCACCGCCCCUGCCCUCAGGCCAGGCCUUGGGAGCUCCGGCUCCGACCCCAUCCUUCCUACCUCAGGGCUGGUCCUCCCCAAGGUGGGGUCUCAGGGUCGGAGGUGGGGGUGUCACAGGAGGGGCCCAUCUAGGACAGCUCUGGCCUCUGGUCUGGCCGAGAGCCAGGAGGGGACGUGGGCAGGUGGUCACAGCUGUCGCCUCUGGGCACCGACCCAGGCCUGGGGCCACCCCCGCUCCCCUGACCCUGUGAGGUCGGCUCCGUGGGGACGAUGGGC